AUUGAACGCUGGCGGAAGGCCUAACACAUGCAAGUCGAACGAGUGGCGGACGGGUGAGUAAUGUCUGGGAAACUGCCCGAUGGAGGGGGGUAACUACUGGAAACGGUAGCUAAUACCGCAUACCAUCGGAUGUGCCCAGAUGGUAUUAGAUAGUAGGUGGGGUAACGGCUCACCUAGGCGACGAUCCCUAGAGGGUCUGAGAGGAUGACCAGCCACAGUGGAACUGAGACACGGUCCAGACUCCUACGUGAGGCAGCAGUGGGGAAUAUGGCACAAUGGGCGCAAGCCUGAUGCAGACAUGCCGCGUGUAUGAAGAAGGCCUUCGGGUUGUAAAGUACUUUCAGCGAGGAGGCGUUACUCGCAGAAGAAGCACCGGCUAACUCCGUGCCAGCAGCCGCGGUAAUUC
rnacentral:rRNA from 1 species